UACAGAGGGUGCGAGCGUUGUCCGGAAUCACUGGGCGUAAAGGGCGCGUAGGUGGCGACCCAAGUCGAUGGUGAAAGCUCGCCGCUCAACGGCGAGUCGGCCACCGAUACUGGGUUGCUCGAGCACUGUAGAGGCUAAUGGAAUUCCGGGUGUAGCGGUGGAAUGCGUAGAGAUCCGGAAGAACACCGGUGGCGAAGGCGGUUAGCUGGGCAGUUGCUGACACUGAGGCGCGACAGCGUGGGGAG
rnacentral:rRNA from 1 species